rnacentral:rRNA from 1 species
UACAGAGGGAGCAAGCGUUGUUCGGAAUUACUGGGCGUAAAGGGCGCGUAGGUGGUUCGAUAAGUCCCGUGUGAAAUCCCUCGGCUCAACUGAGGAAUGGCACGGGAAACUGACGGGCUUGAGUUCGGGAGAGGGAAGCGGAAUUCCGGGUGUAGCGGUGAAAUGCGUAGAUAUCCGGAGGAACACCGGUGGCGAAGGCGGCCAUCUGGACCGCAACUGACGCUGAGGCGCGAAAGCGUGGGGAGCAAACAGG